rnacentral:rRNA from 1 species
AGAUCAGGUAGGAAUACCCGCUGAACUUAAGCAUAUCAAUAAGCGGAGGAAAAGAAACCAACAGGGAUUGCCUCAGUAACGGCGAGUGAAGCGGCAACAGCUCAAAUUUGAAAUCUGGCCCCAGGCCCGAGUUGUAAUUUGCAGAGGAUGUUUCUGGCGAGGUGCCUUCCGAGUUCCCUGGAACGGGACGCCAUAGAGGGUGAGAGCCCCGUACGGUUGGUCGCUAAGCCUCUGUGAAACUCCUUCGACGAGUCGAGUAGUUUGGGAAUGCUGCUCUAAAUGGGAGGUGUACGCCUUCUCAAGCUAAAUACCGGCUAGAGACCGAUAGCGCACAAGUAGAGUGAUCGAAAGAUGAAAAGCACUUUGAAAAGAGGGUUAAAUAGUACGUGAAAUUGUUGAAAGGGAAGCGCUCUUGACCAGACUUGCGCCGGUUGAUCAUCCACCGUUCUCGGUGGUGCACUCUGCCGGCUCAGGCCAGCAUCAGUUCGGCCCGGGGGAUAAAGGCUUCGGGAAUGUGGCUCUCUCCGGGGAGUGUUAUAGCCCGUUGCGUAAUACCUGGACCGGACUGAGGUUCGCGCAUCUGCAUGGAUGCUGGCGUAAUGGUCAUCAGUGACCCGUCUUGAAACACGGACCAAGGAGUCGUCUUCGUAUGCGAGUGUUCGGGUGUCAAACCCCUACGCGUAAUGAAAGUGAACGUAGGAGAGAGCUUCGGCGCAUCUCCGACCGAUCCUGAUGUUCUCGGAUGGAUUUGAGUAAGAGCAUACGGGGCCGGACCCGAAAGAAGGUGAACUAUGCCUGUAUAGGGUGAAGCCAGAGGAAACUCUGGUGGAGGCUCGCAGCGGUUCUGACGUGCAAAUCGAUCGUCAAAUAUGGGCAUGGGGGCGAAAGACUAAUCGAACCUUCUAGUAGCUGUUU